UUUGUAGAGGGUGUUUCGGGCGCGGUCCCGAUCUAAGUCCUUUGGAACAGGGCGUCAGAGAGGGUGAGAAUCCCGUAUGGGAUCGACGGCCCAGUCCAUGUGAAACCCCUUCGACGAGUCGAGUUGUUUGGGAAUGCAGCUCUAAAUGGGUGGUAAAUUUCAUCUAAAGCUAAAUACCGGCCAGAGACCGAUAGCGCACAAGUAGAGUGAUCGAAAGAUGAAAAGCACUUUGGAAAGAGAGCCAAAAAGUACGUGAAAUUGUUGAAAGGGAAGCGCUUGCAACCAGACCUGUCUGUGGGCGAUCAACCCCCGUUCUCGGAGGCCUAGGCGUCCACGGUCAGGCCAGCAUCGGUUCGGGCGGCGGGACAAAGGUCGGGGGAACGUAGCUCCUCUCGGGGAGUGUUAUAGCCCUCGGCGGAAUGCCGCCAGCCCGGACCGAGGAUCGCGCUUCGGCCAGGAUGCUGGCGUAAUGGUUGUAAGCGGCCCGUCUUGAAACACGGACCAAGGAGUGGAAUAUCUGUACGAGUGUUUGGGUGUCCAAACCCAUGCGCGCAAUGAAAGUGAACGGAGGUGAGAACCCUUCCGGGGGCGCAUCAUCGACCGAUCCAGAUGUUUUCGGAUGGAUUUGAGUACGAGUACAGCUGUUUCGACCCGAAAGAUGGUGAACUAUACGUGGAUAGGGUGAAGCCAGAGGAAACUCUGGUGGAGGCUCGCAGCGGUUCUGACGUGCAAAUCGAUCGUCAAAAAGUACGUGAAAUUGUUGAAAGGGAAGCGCUUGCAACCAGACCUGUCCGUGGGCGAUCAACCCCCGUUCUCGGGGGCCUACGCGUCCACGAUCAGGCCAGCAUCGGUUCGGGCGGCGGGACAAAGGUCGGGGGAACGUAGCUCCUC
rnacentral:rRNA from 1 species